ACUGGGCAGGCGUGAAAAAUAUGCCUGGCCACAGUGGGAUUUGAACCUACAACCUUUGGAAUACUGGCCCAAUGCUCUGCCAACUGAGCUAUACAGUCGGGGCAGUUCGAGUAUGCGAUAUUUCGGAACUGAGUCUAGUUCCUUCGAUAUCAGUGUAAUCUAAUAACCAUGAUAUUUGUGAAUAUGAUGCUUGUGUGAUGUUACUCUGGGUGCAUAUCCACACCGGGCAAGCUUGAAAAAUAUGCCAAGCCACAUUGGGAUUCAAACUGAC